rnacentral:rRNA from 1 species
GUACACACCGCCCGUCUCUCCUACCGAUACCGGGUGUUGUGCUGAACCUAUUAGACCACUUGUGGAAAGAUAUGUAAAGCUUAACACCUAGAGGAAGGAGAAGUCGUAACAAGGUUUCCGUAGGUGAACCUGCAGAAGGAUCA